GCCUAAUACAUGCAAGUCGAACGAAGUAGCAAUACUUAGUGGCAGACGGGUGAGUAACAUGUAGGUAUCUUCCCUUUGGCCUGGAAUAACAUGAGGAAACUUAUGCUAAUACCGGAUAAGUCUUUACGGAGAAAGCUUUAUGCACCAUUGGAUGAGCCUGCACUUGAUUAGUUAGUUGGUGGGGUAAUGGCCUACCAAGACAAUGAUCAAUAGCUGAUUUGAGAGGAUGAUCAGCCACAUUGGGACUGAGACACGGCCCAAACUCCUACGGGAGGCAGCAGUAGGGAAUCUUGCACAAUGGAGGAAACUCUGAUGCAGCGAUGCCGCGUGAGUGAAGAAGGCCUUUGGGUUGUAAAGCUCUUUCGUCGGGGAAGAAAAUGACUGUACCCGAAUAAGAAG
rnacentral:rRNA from 1 species